AGCUGUGCUCCAUUGGCCACAGCUGAUGCCUGAUGAGUCCUGCAGGACUUUCAGUUUCAUCUGCUAGGGCAUGUGCUACACUCCUCACUGAACAGAGCUCUCUUUGGGAAGUCUGUAUGGGACUGCUGGGGCCCUGGGAGCAACCCUGUUAUGGCUGAGUCCCUGAACUCUGCACUCUCUUCGGCUUUCUCAUCUUUCUUGGUCUCCUGAUCUAUCUGUCUGAUCAGAGUGACAAGGUAGAUGUAUCCUGCAAAAUGCUAGGCAAGGAAGGGGUUAAAACCCUGUCUGAGGCAGCCAGGAGGUCUCAGCAAUUCACCGAUCAACUUUAAUUAGACAACACCAGCAAUGUGGACAGAGCGCAGUCACCUCACCAGGCAGGCAGCUUGCGAGUGGCUCAGCGAUGCCUAGUUAUUUGUCCUGCGAGAGGAGCCGGGAAGGAUGUUGCUAAGUAAAUAAGAGGGGAGAAUGAGAAGGAGGUUGCAAAGCAGCAUCGGCCCACACUUUCUAAGAGCAUCCUCCUCCUCCUGGAGCAUUCAGAGGGUACCAAAACAUUCAUUUCACUCCACUGCGCUAUAGAAC